GUGCAGCAGGCGCGAAACCUUCACAAUGCACGCAAGUGCGAUGGGGGGACUCCGAGUGCGGUCUUCCAAAACGGAAGGCCGCUUUUCUGCACUGUAAGGAGGUGCCGGAACAAGGGGUGGGCAAGACGGCUGCCAGCCGCCGCGGUAAUAGCCGCACCCCAAGUGGUAGUCAUUGUUAUUGGGCUUAAAGUGUUCGUAGCCGGACGCGUAAGUCCGCUGUAAAAUCCAUGCGCUUAACGUAUGGACAUGCAGCGGAUACUGCGUGUCUAGGAACCGGACGGCGUCGAGGCUAUUCCCGGGGUAGGGGUGAAAUCCUAAAAUCCCGGGAGGAGCACCUGUGGCGGAAGCGCUCGACGAGUACGGAUUCGACGGUGAGGAACGAAAGCCAGGGGAGCAAAGCGGAUUAGAUACCCGCGUAGUCCUGGCCGUAAACAUUGUGCGUUUGAUGUUGGACAACCUCCGAGGUUGUCCAGUGCCGAAGUGAAAACGAUAAACGCAC
rnacentral:rRNA from 1 species